CCAUGCGGAAACACGCGGAAUUUUACGAAACCUGACUUUUAAUCAGUAGGUCCAGGGUUCGAAUCCCUGCGCGCUCACCA
rnacentral:tRNA from 2 species